GGGCCGUUAGCUCAGUGGAUCAGAGCAUCCGCCUUCUAAGCGGAAAGUCGCGGGUCCGAUUCCCGCACGGCCCG
rnacentral:tRNA from 1 species